AAAAUAUCAGAGAAAGAUGUAAAUUCAACAGCGGAUACAUUUGUAGCCAUAAACGUUUGUGAAAUUGAAAUAUUUGGAGACUGCAAUGAUGGAUAUUGGGGUAUCGACUGCCGAAAUAACUGUAGUCAUGUCUGCAGUACAUUCUGUCAUAAGGAGACCGGAAUGUGUUGAGGCAUUUUCACUUUGUGUUUGACUGUCUUUAAAACAUGAAAAUUUUGCCGAGAUAAAAUAUGAAAGAUUGCUAUUCCUGAUGAUGUGAAACUUGAAUCAAGCUUCGGAAAUGUCAUGUAGAAAUUAACUUUAUUGUUUUGAAAUCUGCAUUUACUUUUCAAAAUGUUUUAAGUAGAUAAAAAAACUAA